CCUGGAUUGUUUUACAGUUCAUUAAAUCCAUUCUCCAAGAAAACAAUUAUUUAUGUUUCUAUAUCAAGAAUAAUAUUCUUAACUGGAUUAUGAGCAAAAAGAAGGGAAGGUGAUUAGGACUGCAUUCAGAGUCAAACCUUAGACAAUAGGCAAUAGUGAAUUUUUUUGUUUGCCAAUGAAAUCAGAUGAUGUUUCUCACAAAGAUGGUACACAUAGUGUGUUGUCUGUUGUUUCUUCAUAACACAUGCUAAAUAUCGGAUUAUCUUCAUUGUAUAGCUAAUCCUUCUGCCCUCUGCAUUAGGCAAAGGCAUAAGCCUAGGUUCAGAAUAUAUUAUUAUAUGUUGGACAGUUUAGUAUUUACCAUCUUCCUAGAUUAUUCUAUUAUUGUUGAAUGUAUAAUCGUUUCUUAAUCAGAAUUAAGAAAAUCUUUCCGACCAAAAUAAUUAAGCAUGUAUGAAGUACUCCAGACUAGCGAUUUUUAUAUUUAAAGAAAACCGUAUGAAAAUUUUCAUGUAACUGUUACCGUGUAACUAAUCUUCAUUUCUAACAAAAAGCGUAUGAUAUUUCCUUUCAAAAUAUAAGGAGAAAUUUUCAGCUAGGACAAACGUAAGUGUAGUUUUACAUGAUACAAAAGGAAAUUAUUGCGUGCCAAGUAUAUACAUGUUUAGCAUUUUGUACAUCGAAUUGGGCACACACACAAUUGUUUCUGGUAACUGUUCUAUGCAAGGGAUAUAUGAGGUCACCGAGGAGAUCCUUACUGCAAUCCCAUGCCUCAACGCCCCAUGGUCCUACAAUCUAGGAUGUCAGGAAUGUGGCUAUGCUCUACGACAGUGAUGUAAGGGAGAAGUGGCAACACAAAUGAGUUGUUACGAGAGUUCAAGAAUUUGUUACUCCCGUUGCAACGCACGGGCAUGUGAGAGAAAAUAUUCUGCCAGAGCUCUCCUAGCGCGUCCACUUUCUUCCGUGGCCAGCAGCAGCGACAAAAAUUCUGGGCACUUAGGGACACCUCACCACUGGAUGAAACUCACAAUGACCGGAAUCUACAACGUCCAGUGUGUCAUGGCGUCCCUCCUCUAGCUCACUCAUGAUCUUCGCACGUGACCUGCGGUGAGGACCAGUUUCUUAGGGGACAUAGUUGAAGAGCAGCAUUGAUUGGUAAGCCUCGUAUAGUAUUAUUUUACUUGCAUAAUAAGUAUGUAUAUUUACAAAGUUAAAUAAGUAUGUAUAUUUUAGGCCUAUAAUUUACUAACUAUUUCAAUCUCUCUUGUGGAUCUGUGGUGAGGUGCGUGGUGACCUGUGGCGCCUGAGGGCAUCUGGAUGUUGGUAGACACACUAAGUUGCGGCGGCCACCAGCUGCAGUAGCUGCACUACAGGGCGGCGGGCGGUAGUAGCAAGAUGAGGCAGCGACCAGCAGCAGCUGCACUACGGGGCGGCGUUAGCAAGUAGCAGCAGUAAGGCGAGGCAGUGGGGAGCAGCGGAACAACCAUGCAAACUGCAAGAAGAAUGAAGCAGCGGUUGAAACAUAUGGUGAAUCAUCAGUUUACAGAUACCCAUGAGAUGAAAUACCAUGCUAUCUUUUAGUCAGAUAAGUUGAUGAUAUGUGCCAAAUUAUACAUGGUGGGCUGGUGCUCUUGGCAUAAUACUUUUUGUGCAGUUGUGUUACAACAUGUUUUCAUUGAGAUGUUAUCCAGUAUUUUUCAGCUCCUAAAGAUAGGCUCCUCAUUUCAAAAGGAUUAAAUGAGUCUAGAUGGUCAUGGCUUGUCGUCCGUCUUGAAGCGAAUUCAGAGCCCGGUAGGAUCGCACACCGUAUGGCUUGGACAUCGGAAGAAGAUACAAGAUUGACAAGCGUUCGGUCGAAAAACUCAAAUUAUUCCAUUGAUAGAAUAACAUGAAUAACAAGUACUGGGAUGACAUGGUUGUUACUACAAUAGUAAAAGGCCAAGUCACGGGAGGAGAGAUGCUCAGCGUGUAUGAUGGACAUGGUGGCUCGGAGGUGAGGUUAUCUUCUCUUGAAAAUCUUGACCCACAAAAGAAAUUAACCUUGACGCCGUGGGAACAUGGAAAGCGUAGAUCACGAAUGGCCCCACAAUUUGGUGGUGUUUGUGUGUUGUGCGGUCAAACCUUUCUACCGGCUCCAUUGCGAUGCAGCAGUAUCACCUUCUCUGGGAGAUGAGACGAUGGGAUGUGGCCGCGUCGUGCUACCUGUUGUUGUUGUUCUAGCUUUGUUGUGUGUGUGUGUGUGUGUGUGCACGCGCGCGUGUGUGUGUGUGUGAGAGAGAGAGAGAGGGAGGGAGGGAUGGAGGGCAUUGGCUGAUAGGGGAUGGUUAUGUUGUUGCUAGAUAUGAGCAACAUUCUGUCUAUGUCUUUAGAGAAGCCUUUUGCUUUAGUUUAACUGGGGUGGAGAGUGGGUAUUGUUGUGACAAAGUUGCAUGUUACUAGAUUAUCAAACAUGUUGUUUAGGUGAAUAUCUACCGUCAGAAAGAGAGCAAUGGUACUCUGAUUGUACUGUUUUAUGCUUGAUGUUAAAGAAUACUCUUGCAAGCAGUUAGCGAUGAGCUGAUGGUGCAUUAUAUUGUAUAGAAGAUUCUUUUGAUCCCACAAUGCCAAUUGUGCAUUUGUUGUUCUAUACCUAUUUUGUCCCUCAUGAUUCUCUAUAUUUAAAAAUUAUUGGUAGUA